rnacentral:rRNA from 1 species
AGUGAACGCUGGCGGUAGGCCUAACACAUGCAAGUCGAACGGCAGCACAGUAAGAGCUUGCUCUUACGGGUGGCGAGUGGCGGACGGGUGAGGAAUACAUCGGAAUCUACUUUUUCGUGGGGGAUAACGUAGGGAAACUUACGCUAAUACCGCAUACGACCUACGGGUGAAAGCAGGGGAUCUUCGGACCUUGCGCGAUUGAAUGAGCCGAUGUCGGAUUAGCUAGUUGGCGGGGUAAAGGCCCACCAAGGCGACGAUCCGUAGCUGGUCUGAGAGGAUGAUCAGCCACACUGGAACUGAGACACGGUCCAGACUCCUACGGGAGGCAGCAGUGGGGGAUAUUGGACAAUGGGCGCAAGCCUGAUCCAGCCAUACCGCGUGGGUGAAGAAGGCCUUCGGGUUGUAAAGCCCUUUUGUUGGGAAAGAAAAGCAGCAGGUUAAUACCCCGCUGUUCUGACGGUACCCAAAGAAUAAGCACCGGCUAACUUCGUG